CCUGGCUGCUGUGGAGAGACUCAACCAAGAAAACCCCAAAGCCAUUGAGAUGUGUGUCGCUGCUGCAGGUUUCAGUGUCGGAGAAUUUGCUGCUCUUGCCUUUUCUGGGGCGAUGAACUUUGCAGAAGGAGUAAAGGCAGCUCAACUCCCAGUCCUACUGCCAGUUUCUGGAAGACACCUUCUUCAAGCAGUGG